rnacentral:rRNA from 1 species
CUAACACAUGCAAGUCGAGGGGUAGAGUUAGCUUGCUAACUUGAGACCGGCGCACGGGUGCGUAACGCGUAUGCAAUCUACCUUGUACAGGGGGAUAGCCCAGAGAAAUUUGGAUUAAUACCCCAUGGUGUUUAGAAGUGGCAUCACUUUUUUACUAAAGUUCCAACGGUACAAGAUGAGCAUGCGUCCCAUUAGCUAGUUGGUAUGGUAACGGCAUACCAAGGCUAUGAUGGGUAGGGGUCCUGAGAGGGAGAUCCCCCACACUGGUACUGAGACACGGACCAGACUCCUACGGGAGGCAGCAGUGAGGAAUAUUGGUCAAUGGUCGCAAGACUGAACCAGCCAUGCCGCGUGCAGGAAGACGGUCCUAUGGAUUGUAAACUGCUUUUAUACAGGAAGAAACCCUCUCACGUGUGGGAGCUGACGGUA